rnacentral:rRNA from 1 species
UAGUACCACGCCGUAAACGUUGGGCACUAGGUGUGGGGAUUUAUCAACGAUCUCCGCGCCGUCGCUAACGCAUUAAGUGCCCCGCCUGGGGAGUACGGCCGCAAGGCUAAAACUCAAAGGAAUUGACGGGGGCCCGCACAAGCGGUGGAGCAUGUGGUUUAAUUCGAUGCAACGCGAAGAACCUUACCUACCCUUGACAUCCUCAGAACUUGUUAGAGAUAACUUGGUGCCUUCGGGAAUUGAGUGACAGGUGCUGCAUGGCUGUCGUCAGCUCGUGUCGUGAGGUGUUGGGUUAAGUCCCGCAACGAGCGCAACCCUUAUCACUAGUUGCCAGCAUUUAAGGUGGGGACUCUAGUGAGACUGCCGGCGUAAGCCGUGAGGAAGUGGGGAUGACGUCAAAUCAUCAUGGCCUUUAUGCCUAGGGCUACACACGUGCUACAAUGGCGAGUACAGAGGGUAGCGAAGCCGCAAGGUGGAGCCAAUCUCNUAAAACUGUCCCAGUUCGGA